rnacentral:rRNA from 1 species
GAUGAACGCUAGCGGCAGGCCUAACACAUGCAAGUCGAACGGUGUAGCAAUACACAGUGGCGCACGGGUGCGUAACACGUAUGCAACCUACCUUACAUUGGGGGAUAGCCUUUCGAAAGGGAGAUUAAUACCGCAUAAGACAGUAACUAGGCAUCUAGUAGCUGUUAAAGAUUUAUCGAUGUAAGCUGGGCAUGCGUCCAAUUAGUUAGUUGGCGAGGUAAUGGCUCACCAAGACGAUGAUUGGUAGGGGAACUGAGAGGUCAAUCCCCCACACUGGCACUGAGAUACGGGCCAGACUCCUACGGGAGGCAGCAGUAGGGAAUAUUGGGCAAUGGGCGCAAGCCUGACCCAGCCAUGCCGCGUGCAGGAAGAAGGCGUUAUGCGUUGUAAACUGCUUUUAUACAGGAAGAAACGACCCUUGCGAGGGGCAUUGACGGUACUGUAUGAAUAAGCACCGGCUAACUCCGUGCCAGCAGCCGCGGUAACAC